rnacentral:rRNA from 1 species
UACGUAGGGUGCAAGCGUUAAUCGGAAUUACUGGGCGUAAAGCGUGCGCAGGCGGUUAUAUAAGACAGUUGUGAAAUCCCCGGGCUCAACCUGGGAACUGCAUCUGUGACUGUAUAGCUAGAGUACGGUAGAGGGGGAUGGAAUUCCGCGUGUAGCAGUGAAAUGCGUAGAUACGCGGAGGAACACCGAUGGCGAAGGCAAUCCCCUGGACCUGUACUGACGCUCAUGCACGAAAGGCGUGGGGAGCAAACAGG